ACGGGGGGGGCAAGCGUUGUUCGGAAUUAUUGGGCGUAAAGGGAGCGUAGGCGGGCUAUCAAGUCUGGGGUGAAAUCCCACGGCUCAACCGUGGAACUGCCUCAGAUACUGACGGCCUCGAGGGAGAUAGGGGCAUGCGGAACUGUAGGUGGAGCGGUGAAAUGCGUUGAUAUCUACAGGAACUCCGGUGGCGAAAGCGGCGUGCUGGAUCUCUUCUGACGCUGAGGCUCGAAAGCUAGGGGAGCAAACGGGA
rnacentral:rRNA from 1 species